rnacentral:rRNA from 1 species
UACAGAGGUCCCGAGCGUUGUUCGGAUUUAUUGGGCGUAAAGGGUGCGUAGGUGGCAAAGUAAGUUGGAUGUGAAAUCCUGGGGCUCAACCUCAGAAUUGCAUUCAAUACUGCUUAGCUAGAGAGCUGUAGAGGAGACUGGAAUUUACGGUGUAGCAGUGAAAUGCGUAGAUAUCGUAAGGAACGCCAGUGGCGAAAGCGAGUCUCUGGGCAGCAUCUGACACUGAGGCACGAAGGCCAGGGGAGCAAACAGG